GGUGAGUGUUGCCUCAAAACUUCAUUGCAACAAAACUUUGAUAGUAUACGGUGAGUGUUGCUUCAAAACUUCAUUGCAACAAAACUUUGAUUGUAUACGGUGAGUGUUGCUUAAAUUUCACCAUUACUUUAGAGUCACUUUAUUUGUUUGUGUGUUUGCAUUGAGAACUCCAUCACCCAAAACUGCCUUCAUUUCCAAAAAUAAUACCUGGGCAUAGUUUUGCAUAAUAUCUUGCAGAACUCAGUACCUGGUGAAUAUGGGUGUCUUUGCUCUCUAAUAGGUUGUUCUCGCUAGCAUGCUUCCUACGUCAAUUAAUUUCUUCUUCGUAUCUACCAAUGUAAAUGUGUGUUGCUACUUACUAACUAUUUUUGGUUUCUGCAUAUGCCACAUACCCAUUGCCUUGAGAGAGCUAUCCCUCCAGGUGAAGAACAUGAUUUCAUUCUGCAACUUUUAUGUAUAGGUCGCUUUGUUGCUUACAUCAAGGACAUUGAGGCUUGUGUCAUCAGUCCUCACAGCUACAAUAUCAUUUCUUUGACUUAAUUAGCUGUGAUCCGUUUACCCAUUUCAUGCCAUUUUCUCGAUUAACUAUGAUCUUUCAUUUUCAAUUUUCUUUUUACUGGGCAUCCAUCCAAAGGGGCCUGGCCAUUUUAUGAGAGGACAUAAAGAAAGUGGAUACUUAUUCUCAGCAUUCAGCAUUAGCAAACACAUUAGCAUUUUGCAUGAAGUUUUUGUCCCUUACUUACCAAUCUCAAAAGACGUCCAAACAUAAAAGCACCCUAUUAUUUGUUCACGCAUUUAAAUGUCCUGUUAUCCUUUGUAUUUAUCAAGCUUUAUGACUGAAACCAGUUAGAUUAGUUCUGCAUAGAUUUAAGAACUUCAUCCCCCCUUAGGACCCAAAAAAAUGCCUUAAUUACCUAAAAAAAACACCACGUGGAACGCAUGUGUAGUUAUACAAAAACUAUCGGAAGACAAAUCUAAUAACAACACAAUCUAAGAUCAAUUAGUAGAUAUGAUGACCCAAAAGCAUCGCAACCUAUACCAGAAAAGUUCGAGCAGCACUGCAAAUUUUUUUGGAUUCAGCUAAGUAUUGUCAUGCUUUAUUCGUGUGUGUUAAAAAUUUCGGCUUCCCAGGUACAAUCUGCAAGGCAUAUACAUUACCAUUUGAAGCUCAAUGAGAUCAUCCCAUUUGGGAUUGCCUGAAAUACAUACCCCACAGGUAUCAUACUUACUCUAACGCUGGCUUCCUAAUUAUCCCCUUGUCAUCUAUGUGAGUUGUAUUGAUAUUCUUUGCUAGAGAGAAAAGGUCAACAAAAAGGAUAAUUCCUAUUAAUUGUGGCUAACCUAUCUUUCUUGUCCAGUAUUCCCAUAAAGCCUUGUGUCGUGGAUUUAUUUUUCAAAGGUUAAGCAUUGGUUUCUCAUGGCACUAUACAAGAACUGAAGGAUCCACUACGGAAUCAAGUUAUCGGGUGGCGACUGAUCUAGAAGGCUGGAGUAGGAUCAAAUUGCCAAGGUAAUUGAGGAAUUUGCAAAGAUUGAUAUGCUUCUCAAGCCCAAGAGGGGGGAGACAAAGAGGAGAACAAAAAAAGUUCAGGUGCACAAGAACAAUGAAGUACAAAUUUAUGCCUGAAUUAGAUGGAGUUGGAUCACUCUUAGACUCAUUCAGAAGUAAAAAGACAAGCAGCAACUUGGCAAAUUAAUCACAAUUGGAGUAAUUUCCCUUGCUCUUUUUGGCGGUUACAAAUGUCUUUGACUUAAUUUUUUUCCCUCCAAUCAAUGGAUGGGUCAACAAAGAUGGCAAUGUGUACAUGGGCCUUGUAUCCCUUGUAUAAUGACUCUCUUUCUAACAUGUAAGGAUAUUUAUACAUGGGUAAGUUUCAUAAUGCUAGAUUGUACAUACAAAGCUUCAAAGAAGUUAGGAAAGUUUCUUUUAGAAUCUUGCGCAUUCUUUGAUUACAUUUUGAGUAUUAUUUGGAUACUAAUUUUGCAGUGUAGUAUUGCAUUAAAAUAAUGGAUACAUAGCCACAACCUGAAAUUCAACUCCGGCAAGAGAUCUUUGAAUUCUCAAUUUUCGGCUUACAAUCACUCAAGAACGAAAGGACGCAAUUACUCCAUACCAUUCUUCCACUGGGUUCGUAUUGAUCCGGUUUUGUAGAAAUUGAAGUUCCGAACCAUUACUUACAAAUCCAGGAAUUGGUGUUCUAUCAUGAUCAAAUCCCAACAGCCUGAACCAACGACUCCGUGAAUUACAAAAACCUUCAAUUGUCUGGUGUAGGU